AUUUCAAUAAAUGUGCAAUUAUUUGUCAAUUGUUUCUCAGUUACAUUUUUAACAUUUCAAAUGAGGAAUAUAAUCUCACAUCAAUGGUAUCACAAAGUUAGCUGUUGAACAAAUCAAACCAGAAUUGAGUUUAUUAAAUUCAUUCACAAUAUGUGCACUCACAAAUAUUUGGUUUAGCUACAUAUAUUUUGCAUUUCAUAACUGAGGAGUCAAGUUUUUUUUUUUUUUUUAACAUUUAGUGCCUGUGAACAUAAACCCUGUCUACUUUGAUUUGAUUGGCCAUCACAAGCACUUUGACAUUGAUGAGCGCUGUAAGACCGCUGAGACAUCUCAUAUGAGAAGAUCUAUCUUGGCUUUGUAUCCUUGCAGCACCAGAGCAGAAUUGAUAUAUGGUAAUUAUUUUACAACUUUUGUUAUUGGAAAAAUACCCAAUGGUGGGUAUGGCCCUGAUGGUAGGAGAAAUCAUGUGCCUGUGUGAUGGGUCCCAGUGAUGUAGUGUAUAUGGAGAAGAUGAGGGGUCCAAGGACUGAGCCCUGAGGAACCCCGGUGCCCAGUUGAUGUGCUUUGGAUACCUCCCCUCCCCAGGCCACCCCGAUAAUGAGAUGGGAUUCAAACCAGCGAAGUGAAAUCCCUGUGAUGCCCAGUGAUGAGAGGGCAGACAGGAGGAUCUGAUGAUUCAGUGUCAAAAGCAGCAGACAGAUCCAGCAGAAUGAGAAUGAUGAUUUGGAAUCAGCUUUCGCAAUCCUCAAGUGUUUGCGCUAUGACUGGAAGGAGAGAGAUAGAACUGCUUUCCUUUGGCUGACAGAUGAUACCUCAACCCUUGACCUUCAGCGCUGAACUGACCACUGCUGACUGACAGGACUGGAUCUGCUUCAGAGAAAAC
ensembl:lncRNA